rnacentral:miRNA from 1 species
GUGCAUUGCGGUUGCAUUGCA